rnacentral:sRNA from 1 species
CAUAAAUAACAAACAGAGUCUUGUUAUUCUAUAACAUGAAAGAUCCUUAUGAGGGAGAUAAUAUAAAAGGCAUUCAUUAAUUAUAAAAUCUCUCUUCUUCCUCACAGAUCCCAUAUUUCUGCUUCCUCACACUUUUAGAAGUUAAUUGAUGGCUGACUUCUGAAAGUCACUUUCCUUUGCCCUGGUACUUCAGGCCAUAUACAUCUUUUCUUGUCUCCAUAAUCCUCCCUUUCAAGGAUGGCCAGUCAGCUAACUCAAAGAGGAGCUCUCUUUCUGCUGUUCUUCCUAACUCCGGCAGUGACACCAACAUGGUAUGCAGUCCUUUGCUCCCUGCUGAGCAUUUCUUCAAAAGCUGGCUCUGUAACCGGAGCAGGGAGACCUAAUACUUUAGGGAAUCACACACAUCUGGCCUCCUGUUUACAGGACCUAUAAAGCUUUGAGGCUAAUACCGAACUGAAACAGCUGACAAAAAUUCCAUGACCCCCCCCCCGACUCCCCCGCACCCACCAAAGAAACCUCCCAUUAUGGGAAAAAAGAGAGCAGGGGAGAUGAGGUCUGAGAAGAAAUCAACGGAAGCCAGAAGAAGAACUGAAAUGGGAAAACAGAAAAAAA